AUUCAUCAAUUUCUUCUUCCUCGUGCGCCUCCCUUCCCGAAACCCCAACCCCUCGCUGCCAAACCGCCCAACUGCCACGUCUUCUGUCGAGCCCAACAUUAGUGAGCAGUUGCCCCGAUCCGUGAGCAACGCGUGCCGCCAGUCGCCCCAGCCAUCGAUCUGCACUCCAACCGCGCCGCUCAUUAUUCAUGGGUAACGGUCGACCAGAUCCCGCCGCUCUAGCCGCGCUGCUUCAGCCGUCGAUUUCACGUUCUCUCCCAGCUGCAGACCCACGCGACCAAAAACCAGGCUCGUUCGCCACUCGUUCAGCCCGCCGCCCGAGCCCAGCCACCGAACUCCGCCGGUCACUGCCUUCCUUCGCGGUCGUUUGUCGGAUUUCGACAAUUGUUGGUAAGUUCUAGAUCCAAGAUUGGAGUUGUUUGGAGUGUGCAACGUGCUGUCUAGCAGGUUCGAGUUCGUUUCCAACAAGAAAUUUGGUAAAGAUAGAGAUGCACAGACGAUUGACAAGCAAAAUUCGUGAUCGAGCCACUGGGACCAAUUUUAUGCUUCCGCUCAUGAGAUUUAGAUUUCUUUUAAUGUUUUUUUUUCAACUUUCAGUUUUGAUGUUUGAAACUUAGUAUUAAGAAUUGUUU